AAGUCGUAACAAGGUUUCCGUAGGUGAACCUGCGGAAGGAUCAUUAAUAAAAUUAUUCGGUUAGCAUACUUUGAAGCAUGCGAAUCCUUUAAACCAUAUCCGAGUACAUUAUUUCCGCGUUGCUUUCGCAGGUCAAGAAGCGGUGCAGAGUUGGGCGACCACAACGCACCGAAAUCUGCGAAAGGUAAUGGAUUGCAAAAUUCGUUGUUUUUUUUUUAUUUCUUUAUUUUUUUCAUUUUUUAAAAAAAUUACCAUUAUCCGAAACAUGUAUAUAAAUUACAAACAAAAAUAAAAAACUUUCAACAACGGAUCUCUUGGUUCUC
rnacentral:misc_RNA from 1 species